UGGGGGAUAUUGCACAAUGGAGGAAACUCUGAUGCAGCGACGCCGCGUGAGGGAAGAAGGCCUUCGGGUUGUAAACCUCUGUCUUCGGGGACGAACAAAUGACGGUACCCGAGGAGGAAGCCACGGCUAACUACGUGCCAGCAGCCGCGGUAAUACGUAGGUGGCAAGCGUUGUCCGGAAUUAUUGGGCGUAAAGGGCGUGCAGGCGGCCAGGCAAGUCUGUCUUAAAAGUGCGGGGCUUAACCCCGUGAUGGGAUGGAAACUGUCAGGCUAGAGUGUCGGAGAGGAAAGCGGAAUUCCUAGUGUAGCGGUGAAAUGCGUAGAUAUUAGGAGGAACACCAGUGGCGAAAGCGGCUUUCUGGACGACAACUGACGCUGAGGCGCGAAAGCCAGGGGAGCAAACGGGAUUAGAUACCCCGGUAGUCCUGGCCGUAAACGAUGGGUACUAGGUGUAGGAGGUAUCGACCCCUUCUGUGCCGGAGUUAACGCAAUAAGUAUCCCGCCUGGGGAGUACGGCCGCAAGGCUG
rnacentral:rRNA from 1 species